rnacentral:tRNA from 1 species
AGAAAAGUAAGCUAAGUUUAAGCUAAUGGGUUCAUACCCCAAUUAUAGAGUCAAACUCUCUUUUCUA